rnacentral:rRNA from 1 species
AGCGAACGCUGGCGGCAGGCUUAACACAUGCAAGUCGAGCGGAUGUAGCAAUACAUCAGCGGCAGACGGGUGAGUAACACGUGGGAACGUACCUUUUGGUUCGGAACAACACAGGGAAACUUGUGCUAAUACCGGAUAAGCCCUUACGGGGAAAGAUUUAUCGCCGAAAGAUCGGCCCGCGUCUGAUUAGCUAGUUGGUGAGGUAAUGGCUCACCAAGGCGACGAUCAGUAGCUGGUCUGAGAGGAUGAUCAGCCACAUUGGGACUGAGACACGGCCCAAACUCCUACGGGAGGCAGCAGUGGGGAAUAUUGGACAAUGGGCGCAAGCCUGAUCCAGCCAUGCCGCGUGAGUGAUGAAGGCCCUAGGGUUGUAAAGCUCUUUUGUGCGGGAAGAUAAUGACGGUACCGCAAGAAU